GACGAACGCUGGCGGCGUGCUUAACACAUGCAAGUCGAACGAUGAAGCUGGAGCUUGCUCCGGCGGACUAGUGGCGAACGGGUGCGUAAGACGUGAGCAAUCUGCCCUGCACUCUGGGAUAACUGCGGGAAACUGUAGCUAAUACCGGAUACGAAGCCUUGGGGCAUCCCGGGGCUUGGAAAGACUUCCGGUGAAGGAUGAGCUCGCGGCCUAUCAGCUAGUUGGUGAGGUAAUGGCUCACCAAGGCGACGACGGGUAGCCGGCCUGAGAGGGUGACCGGCAACACUGGGACAGAGACACGGCCCAGACUCCUACGGGAGGCAGCAGUGGGGAAUAUUGCACAAUGGGCGAAAGCCUGAUGCAGCAACGCCGCGUGAGGGAUGAAGGCCUUCGGGUUGUAAACCUCUUUUAGUAGGGAAGAAGCGAAAGUGACGGUACCUACAGAAAAAGCACCGGCUAACUACGUGCCAGCCGCCGCCGUAA
rnacentral:rRNA from 1 species